AAGAGAGAGACAUGCGCGCAUAUCAAUAAGCGGAGGAAAAGAAACUAACUAGGAUUCCCUCAGUAACGGCGAGUGAAGCGGGAAGAGCUCAAAUUUGAAAUCUUCAAGGUUCUACCUUGACGAAUUGUAGUUUAAAGAAGUGUUUUCUGUUGGAGUUUUGGUAAAAGUUCUUUGGAAUAGGACAUCAUAGAGGGUGAGAAUCCCGUAUUUGACCUUUACUUUCAACUUUGUGAUACACUUUCAAAGAGUCGGAUUGUUUGGGAAUGCAGUCCAAAAUGGGUGGUAAAUUUCAUCUAAAGCUAAAUAUUGGCGAGAGACCGAUAGCGAACAAGUACCGUGAGGGAAAGAUGAAAAGAACUUUGAAAAGAGAGUUAAACAGUACGUGAAAUUGUCAAAAGGGAAGCGUUUGACACCAGUGUUGUUUUUCUGAAAAUCAAUUAAAGAACUGUUUAUGCUAAGUUGUUUAGACUUUAUCAGCUAACUGUUUAGUUUUGAGCUUUUCUUUAAUGCACUUUUCAGUUAACAAGUCAACAUCAAUUUCUUUCGUUGUAAAAGGGUCAUUGGAAGGUGGCUUUCUUUUCGGAGAAAGUGUUUAUAGCCUUUGGCCUCUGCAAUCGGAGAGAUUGAGGUCUGCAGCGUAGAUCCUUCGGGGUUAGAUACAUUUGUGCUAAGUUAUAGCCUUUCAUAGACAACUUGUUGACUAUGAUCAGUCAUGUAGCUUACUCGCUUAUGCUAUUUUACCUACGCUUAGGAUGUUGAUGUGAUACUGCGAGCA
rnacentral:rRNA from 1 species